AAGAGCCGUAUGAGUCGAGAGGCUCACGUACGGUUCUGUGAGAGCGUGGUGGUGAAAUCCCACCGCGCUACUCGAC
rnacentral:ncRNA from 1 species